rnacentral:tRNA from 1 species
GCGGGGGUGGCAGAGCUUGGUCAAAUGCGCAGGCUUGAGGAGUCUGUUCCCUAGGGAUGCCAGGGUUCAAAUCCCUGCCCCCGCA